GCCGGCAGGGAGAGGCGAGGGCGUGAGCUUCCCGGCGGCUCCCACAGCUCGCCCGCCCUGCCAGCCUCAGGCUGUGGCAAUUGGGCCAUCGUGGCCUUUCUGGGAAACUGCCUGUCCGAGCCCGUGUCGUCCAUGGGCAGGUAUUUCUCAUGUGGGUGGAAGUGGGUGUUGGCAGGAAGGAACUGGCCAGCAAGAGAGUCACGGGUUACAAAAGUCUGGGAGGUGUCUGAGAAAUUGUCCAACUUGCUGAGGCCAAAGUUCAGGCGCAGAGAGGGCCUGGGAGCCGGAGACACCGGAGCCCGUGACCUGCCUGGUUCUCUGGGCUCGUCUCAGUCUCCCCACCUGGCUCUCUAGCGGGCGUGGGUCCAGCCACCCUGAGCCCUGGGUGAACGCUCUGUGAUUACAAGCCCAGCCCUGGUACCCCUCCUGGCAUGUGGACUAACCUCCACCAGACGGUGGGCGUGGGAAAGAGGCCACUGGGUCGCGUGGCCAGCGGGCCCAGGCAAGAGGAGAGACGUGUGAGAGUCCCUGGAAAUCACUAGCUGGCUAGGAUCCCAGGGCGGAUCUUCAGGACAAACACACUCGGGGGACCAUGUCCUGCCUCCUCCGGCGGGGCCCCGCUCAGCCACGCCCAGGACCCACGCGGCUCCCAGAACCUCCCCCGGGCUCCGCGCCUCCCUGCUGGGCAGCACUCCUACGGAAAACACGCGGUCGUGGGAAACCUGGUUCGUUUUCAGUGGUCUUUUUCAAAUGGGCCGGAUACAGGGCCACCCAAAGCAGCAUCCCGGGGCCAGUUUCCUUCGAGAAGCUUCCAAGCCCACAUCUGCCACCGAUGCAGGAGAGACGCACUUUCACACGGACACUCACUUUGGGUUGUGUCUACUCGUUGGGUUGUGUCUGCUCAUCUCCAGAGACGGACCACCUGCCUCUCAGGGCAGGGACCACGCCUUAGUAAUACUGGCUGCUCUUCAGCCCCGAGCACCAGGCAUUGUCCGUGCAUUAACUUUAAUCCUCCCAAACCACCCUGCCGGAGAAAGAUUAUCAUCCUGAGCACACAAAUGAGAACCGGGGAGGGCUGCAGUGUUGAAACGACUUACCCAAGGUCACGGCUGGUGAAUUACAGGACCAGCGGGACCUGAGUUUGCCCUUUCCCACAGCCUCAAGCCUCCUCUCUUCUCUUUCCAGCAUCCCUGGGAGCGGCACCAGGCUCACACAGAGUAGGUGCUCACUGCUUGCUUGCAGAAUAACUCAAGGACGGCCUAAAUGGAUAAAAGCCAUUUGAAAACUGCUUUAUUUGCAUUUUCAAAGAAGACCACAUCGGUGCUGCUGUGAGGAAGAACACAGACUGUGCAUUCGUCUCCUGCGUUUUUUGAACUCAAUGAGAACAACCUCUAAGUAAUUUCUUGACUUUGGGAUUAUUCUUAGCACAACAAAAACAUUUCAAUUAAAGUUUCGUCCUAA